rnacentral:sRNA from 1 species
GCAAUUUGGAUGCAUCAUCUGACACUGUACUGAUUACAAGGGGUGAUUUAGCUGAUCUGGCCUGCUAGGUGGGUGNCCCCUUCCUC